GAUGAACGCUGGCGGCGUGCCUAAUACAUGCAAGUCGAUCGAGGAAGGGACUAGCUUGCUAGGACUGGAGAAGAGGCGAACGGGUGAGUAAUACAUAAGCAACCUACCCACGAAGACUGGGAUAACCCCUGGAAACGGGGACUAAGACCGGAUAGGUAAAGAGAUCGCAUGAUCAAAUUAUUAAAGGAGAAAGACACUGGUGGAUGGGCUUAUGGCGCAUUAGUUAGAUGGUGAGGUAACGGCCCACCAUGACGAUGAUGCGUAGCCGGCCUGAGAGGGUGAACGGCCACAUUGGGACUGAGACACGGCCCAGACUCC
rnacentral:rRNA from 1 species